GACGAACGCUGGCGGCGUGCCUAACACAUGCAAGUCGAACGGAAUUGUUCCUUCGGGGACAACUUAGUGGCGAACGGGUGAGUAACGCGCGAGGAACCUGCCUUUCAGUGGGGGAUAACAGUUAGAAAUGACUGCUAAUACCGCAUAAGCACACGUGGUCGCAUGAUCGAGUGUGAAAAACUCCGGUGGUAUGAGAUGGACCCGCGUCUGAUUAGCUAGUUGGUGGGGUAAUGGCCCACCAAGGCGACGAUCAGUAGCCGGCCUGAGAGGGUGAACGGCCACAUUGGGACUGAGACACGGCCCAA
rnacentral:rRNA from 1 species